rnacentral:tRNA from 1 species
GAGGGUAUAGCUCAGUGGUAGGGUGCGUGCUUAGCAUGCAUGAAGCCCUGGGUUCAAUCCCCAGUAUCUCUG